CGUCACACUAUCAUUAACUGAAUCCAUAGGUUAAUGAGGCGAACCGGGGGAACUGAAACAUCUAAGUACCCCGAGGAAAAGAAAUCAACCGAGAUUCCCCCAGUAGCGGCGAGCGAACGGGGAGGAGCCCAGAGCCUGAAUCAGCAUGUGUGUUAGUGGAAGCGUCUGGAAAGGCGCGCGAUACAGGGUGACAGCCCCGUACACAAAAGCGCAUGUGCUGUGAGCUCGAUGAGUAGGGCGGGACACGUGGUAUCCUGUCUGAAUAUGGGGGGACCAUCCUCCAAGGCUAAAUACUCCUGACUGACCGAUAGUGAACCAGUACCGUGAGGGAAAGGCGAAAAGAACCCCGGCGAGGGGAGUGAAAAAGAACCUGAAACCGUGUACGUACAAGCAGUGGGAGCACAGGUUUACCUGUGUGACUGCGUACCUUUUGUAUAAUGGGUCAGCGACUUAUAUUCUGUAGCAAGGUUAACCGAAUAGGGGAGCCGGAGGGAAACCGAGUCUUAAUUGGGCGUUAAGUUGCAGGGUAUAGACCCGAAACCCGGUGAUCUAGCCAUGGGCAGGUUGAAGGUUGGGUAACACUAACUGGAGGACCGAACCGACUAAUGUUGAAAAAUUAGCGGAUGACCUGUGGCUGGGGGUGAAAGGCCAAUCAAACCGGGAGAUAGCUGGUUCUCCCCGAAAGCUAUUUAGGUAGCGCCUCGUGAAUUCAUCUCCGGGGGUAGAGCACUGUUUCGGCUAGGGGGCCAUCCCGGCUUACCAACCCGAUGCAAACUGCGAAUACCGGAGAAUGUUAUCACGGGAGACACACGGCGGGUGCUAACGUCCGUCGUGAAGAGGGAAACAACCCAGACCGCCAGCUAAGGUCCCAAAGUCAUGGUUAAGUGGGAAACGAUGUGGGAAGGCCCAGACAGCCAGGAUGUUGGCUUAGAAGCAGCCAUCAUUUAAAGAAAGCGUAAUAGCUCACUGGUCGAGUCGGCCUGCGCGGAAGAUGUAACGGGGCUAAACCAUGCACCGAAGCUGCGGCAGCGACACUGUGUGUUGUUGGGUAGGGGAGCGUUCUGUAAGCCUGCGAAGGUGGCCUGUGAGGGUUGCUGGAGGUAUCAGAAGUGCGAAUGCUGACAUAAGUAACGAUAAAGCGGGUGAAAAGCCCGCUCGCCGGAAGACCAAGGGUUCCUGUCCAACGUUAAUCGGGGCAGGGUGAGUCGACCCCUAAGGCGAGGCCGAAAGGCGUAGUCGAUGGGAAACGGGUUAAUAUUCCCGUACUUGGUGUUACUGCGAAGGGGGGACGGAGAAGGCUAUGUUGGCCGGGCGACGGUUGUCCCGGUUUAAGCGUGUAGGUGUGUGUUCCAGGUAAAUCCGGUUCACUUUAACACUGAGGCGUGACGACGAGGCACUACGGUGCUGAAGCAACAAAUGCCCUGCUUCCAGGAAAAGCCUCUAAGCAUCAGGUAACAUCAAAUCGUACCCCAAACCGACACAGGUGGUCAGGUAGAGAAUACCAAGGCGCUUGAGAGAACUCGGGUGAAGGAACUAGGCAAAAUGGUGCCGUAACUUCGGGAGAAGGCACGCUGACACGUAGGUGAAGUGAUUUACUCAUGGAGCUGAAGUCAGUCGAAGAUACCAGCUGGCUGCAACUGUUUAUUAAAAACACAGCACUGUGCAAACACGAAAGUGGACGUAUACGGUGUGACGCCUGCCCGGUGCCGGAAGGUUAAUUGAUGGGGUCAGCGCAAGCGAAGCUCCUGAUCGAAGCCCCGGUAAACGGCGGCCGUAACUAUAACGGUCCUAAGGUAGCGAAAUUCCUUGUCGGGUAAGUUCCGACCUGCACGAAUGGCGUAAUGAUGGCCAGGCUGUCUCCACCCGAGACUCAGUGAAAUUGAACUCGCUGUGAAGAUGCAGUGUACCCGCGGCAAGACGGAAAGACCCCGUGAACCUUUACUAUAGCUUGACACUGAACAUUGAGCCUUGAUGUGUAGGAUAGGUGGGAGGCUUUGAAGUGUGGACGCCAGUCUGCAUGGAGCCGACCUUGAAAUACCACCCUUUAAUGUUUGAUGUUCUAACGUGGACCCGUUACCCGGGUUGCGGACAGUGUCUGGUGGGUAGUUUGACUGGGGCGGUCUCCUCCUAAAGAGUAACGGAGGAGCACGAAGGUUGGCUAAUCCUGGUCGGACAUCAGGAGGUUAGUGCAAUGGCAUAAGCCAGCUUGACUGCGAGCGUGACGGCGCGAGCAGGUGCGAAAGCAGGUCAUAGUGAUCCGGUGGUUCUGAAUGGAAGGGCCAUCGCUCAACGGAUAAAAGGUACUCCGGGGAUAACAGGCUGAUACCGCCCAAGAGUUCAUAUCGACGGCGGUGUUUGGCACCUCGAUGUCGGCUCAUCACAUCCUGGGGCUGAAGUAGGUCCCAAGGGUAUGGCUGUUCGCCAUUUAAAGUGGUACGCGAGCUGGGUUUAGAACGUCGUGAGACAGUUCGGUCCCUAUCUGCCGUGGGCGCUGGAGAACUGAGGGGGGCUGCUCCUAGUACGAGAGGACCGGAGUGGACGCAUCACUGGUGUUCGGGUUGUCAUGCCAAUGGCACUGCCCGGUAGCUAAAUGCGGAAGAGAUAAGUGCUGAAAGCAUCUAAGCACGAAACUUGCCCCGAG
rnacentral:rRNA from 2 species